ensembl:lncRNA
GGCAUUUUUUCCAGUGAACGUUUGUGGAGGAGCCUGACAGGCCGGAUUUACCGCCAACACCUCUGGAAAAACACACCGACGGAGAAGGAACAUGUGAGAGUGCAAUUAGAGAAAGACUUCCACACGUACGAGAUGCUGUUUGUUGGUUCAUUUUAUUUGCUCUUUCUCCACCAGAGGAAAAGAAGGAGGCAGAGGAGCCGAGAGUGGAGGAGGUUCUGUCGUGCAGGAGAAAGAGGAGACGGGUAGAAACAGAAGAGAGAAGGGGGAACCACGUGGAAGAACCAUCCCGUGACAACCGUCCAACUAGCAUGCAUAGGCAGUGAUUCUUCCAACAAGACAGCAGACGACUUACAGACAGUUAGACGGACGGACAUACACAGGACGAUACGAGGAGAUAGACGGAGGGAGGAGAAGCAGAUUUGGAGCAUCAUGCCUGCAGACCGGAACUCUGGAAGAUGGCAGUAGGAUCAUACAAAAAGACCAACUCGGCUGGUUUAACAAAGAUCGGUAAACCUUAAUGUCCACAGAAAUAUAUUUGGC